rnacentral:lncRNA from 1 species
GGAGGUCAAUCCAGAACGGAGGUGAACCCAUCGGAGGGUCUGCGGUUCCAGAACGGAGGUCAAUCCAGAACGGACUUGAUCCACCUCUGUCUUCGGUUGGUACACCUUGGUACACCUCUGUCUGCGGUUCCUCACGCUUGGUACACCUCUGUCUUCAUUGGCUAAAUCCAAAUACAGAAUUCCUGUGGAUUGAAAGAGCUCGGCUUCUUCUUCUGAACGCCGGAAUAAUCACGCAUUUGCGAGCAUUGUGACGGAAUAGUCGAACCGGUAUUAAAUUUAGCGGGAUCCGAUUUUAUUUCUUGCGAGCCCUUCUCAAGAUGAAGGAACGGAUAUUGCAGAAAUUCUUUGGUCGCUCUUGACUCAGACGCUGACCGUUUCAGUUGGGGAGCACCACAACAACCUUCGUCAGUUCCACCUGAUUCGGAUUUGGGUAAGGGAUCCAAGCCCAUUAGUCUGGCAAUGACGCUUGGAGACCCUAUCUGCUUGUCUUGAUCAUUACGGAGGUGAACCCAUCGGAGGGUCUGCGGUUCCAGAACGGAGGUCAAUCCAGAACGGAGGUGAACCCAUCGGAGAUUCUACGGUUCCUGAUAGUUGAUCGACACGCCGCAUCCGUCGCUGCAGGGAAGUGGAUUUGGGAUGUUGUAGUGUUUCAUCUCCGCCCAGGCCACCGCCUUUUCUGUGCGGUUGCAAGCUUUUUGCCUUGAAAUCUUCUAGUUAUUUGUUUAAAUCCCAUCCCGGUGAUCCCGCUCAGCAACUAUUUUAAUUUGAUUUUAUUUCAAAAUCACUGCUUAGUCUGUUUAUUUAUUUAGAGGAACCCAUCGGACGGUGGAGGCAGGGUACCGUCAGGAGCGACCGUGCGAACAGGGUCGCUCCUGAUAUUUCCUCU